rnacentral:misc_RNA from 1 species
UUUCCGUAGGUGAACCUGCGGAAGGAUCAUUAGUGAAUAAACAAGUGCAGGUUGUGCUGGCCUUCUUGGGUAUGUGCACGCCUGCCAGCUUCAUUCCAUCUUCCCACCUGUGCACUCUGUGUAGAUUCUGUAUGCUACUGUCAAGCCUUUAUUGUGCUUGGUUGAGAGGAGUUGCUUGUUUCACCAACAAGCUCUUCUUGGGCAUGCAGGUCUAUGUUUAUAUCAACACCAUAUGAAUGUUUUAGAAUGUGCUUUAGGCUUUUUGGCCUUUAAAUUAUAUACAACUUUCAACAACGGAUCUCUUGGCUCUC